GCCGCGCCCGCCGCCCCCGCGCCUCCUUCCCUCCCCUCUCCCAGUUGUCCCUGGGCAACGGCUUCGAGCGUUUCAUGUGAAUUCCCAGAAGUCUUCGGGGAAGCGUUUCGCCGUGACACAUGCGUAUAAUCCAUUUCUUCACAGUGCAUCCCGACUCCCGAAGUGCUGGUGACGCUGCUUUGAGGGAAACUUCAAGUGGUUGAUGUUGAUGGGCCCUGGGUAAUAAUGACGGGAAAAGGAAUCAGUUACCUCUGCAGACUAAAGGAAAAGGCUACGUCCUCACCCAAAGACAUAAUUUCAGAAAAUUAACAAAAGCGUACAGUCUGUCUGAAAAUUGCAACUUGCCAUGUUCACACCUUCCUUUUGUGAUUUUCUCUAUCCUGUUUCACUAUUUUCAAAGCGUUAAUGGGGAAAAAAACAAACAAAAACAACCCAACAAAACAAAAACCCCAAACAAAACAACAACAACAAAAAAAGGAAGCCGACAGUUUUCAGGAGAAAUGGGUAAAAUGGAUACAACCUCUCCCAUGCCUCUCCACAGCGGAGGCAAACCUCUGUCAGAGCCCUGUGCGCAGAACAUCAGCACAGAGGCACACCAGGGCCCGAGGAGCGACCUCCUCUCUUCUCAGCCCUGGGCUGGUGAUGGAGGAAGAGGUGCCAUGUGGAGAAUUGUAUUAGCAUCUGAAUAAUAAUUCAUUCCAGUGUUCUCUUUUGCCAGCCAGGGCUGUUUUGGAAGGAACCCUAAACUGAAUUCUGAAAUCAAAUAACAUUUUCUACUUGAAAUGCAGCAUAAUUGCUAUCAGUAUAUGCAGGAGUAACAGAAAACAGGCAAAUAUAAUCAUUUUGGGCCCUCAAAGUCAGGUAGUAAUAGGUAAAGAAAUAACAGCUUCUAUCUUCUCUCUCCUGUGAUUGCUUUUAAUCUCAAAUAUAAUUGCUUUCUCCCCAAAUUUCUCACAAUGUUACAUUACAAGCAUGAAUUUAGUUCUAUUUUUAUAAGCCAUAUUAUUCUGUUGAGAUCAUGACAGAAACAUGUCCUGGCCUCACACUAUAACAAAUGAAUACCAUCAUAACAGAAGAGCCAGUGCGUCAUUUUCAGCCACAGGUAAGACACAUGUGAAGGCAUCUCCCUCCAUUUUUAACAUCGUAACUCCUAUAGAAAAUUCAUGGGGAUUUAUAAUCAUCUUCCCUGGAAAGCAACUGUGAUGACAGGUCAAGAACAGUUUAUAUUGACUGGUACCUCUGGAGACAGAAGAAAUCACAGUUUGUUUUCACAAACUUUGUGACUGACUGACUGACUUUUCAUAAAGCCUGACCAGUGGAUUUCUCAAUUUUACAGUGGUUAGUAGAGUCUCACCCUGGCAGGAAAGGAAAGACAAAACUUUUGGUGAAGUCACCAGCUUCCCUAACUUCUUCAUGGACUUUAAACAGUCAGACACCACAGUGACGGGACCUCAACAGAAACCAUGUGGUCUGCAAACAGUGAGUAGGAUGGAAAAAGUUUUUUGCCCCAUCACAAAUAUUUAAGCAGAAGGACAAGAGGAAUUUGAGGCCGUACAGGCCACUCAGCUGUGCUGCACUCCCUGGGAAUGUUACAUACUGAGUCUCCUGCAAGCAUUUCCAAGCACAGGAAAGAUAAGAAGGUGAUUGAGAACAGCCAGCACAGAAUUAUCAAGGGUGGUGGCCAAAUACUGGAAAGACUGCAGGAUUUCCUUCUUUGGAGAUUUCAGAACUGGAAUGGAUCAAACUGAUAGGUGGUGCAAUUGUGACCAUGGGAUUUCUUUCAGUAGAAGUUGGGCAGAUGUUUACCUGUUACUUUGUUUAGAUACAGUAUAGAUACUGUUUAGAUACGUGGGAGACGUGAUUUUCACAAGGUCUAUGAGAGCUUCAGAGUUCAGUUAUUGUUGACAGUACUCGGGUCUUGGUAUCUGAAGUUUUGAAUGGAGGCAUAAAAACAAAAGAAUGUUUCUGUAAAUUGAGCUUCAAAAACUCUAUAUCUUACUUUUCCAUGAUUUUCAGAAUUUCCAGGGCUAACCUAAUUGUUAUCAGUGGAGCAUUUCAAGGUCUCCAGCAGAAGAAUGCUAGAAAGUCCUAAAGCAACUCUGAAAGAAUGCACAAGCAUAACCUUUUCUCAAAACAAAACCUGCAGUUCCAGGGACAACUGUCCAAAAUAGAACAACUGGUGGGAACAACUGUAAUUCCAUGACAGCUCUGCAGCUAUUAUAGUUCCUGUGAUUAACCACAGUACACACACAAUGCUAAAAUGGUAGAUGCUAAGGAAUCUGUAUUUCUGGGCUAUGAGUUGAAAAUUCUUCUGAAAUUUUGAAAAUUACAGAUAUAACAGCUAGGGGAAAAUGGAACCUGCAGUGUUUCAGGUUUUUUACAAAAUUAGAUAAACUCUGCACCAAGGAUUUUUUUUUAUUAAA